rfam:Dipodomys ordii contig_60405, whole genome shotgun sequence.
UGGAAUGUGACUUAAUGGUAGAGUGCUUGCCUAGCAUGCAUGAAGCUUUGGGUUUGAUUCCUCAGUUCCAC